UCCUACGGGAGGCAGCAGUGGGGAAUCUUGCGCAAUGGGCGAAAGCCUGACGCAGCGACGCCGCGUGGGGGAGGAAGCUCCUCGGAGUGUAAACCCCUGUCAGGAGGGAAGAACGGGCAGAAGAGGAAAUGCUUCUGUUUUGACGGUACCUCCAAAGGAAGCACCGGCUAACUCUGUGCCAGCAGCCGCGGUAAUACAGAGGGUGCGAGCGUUGUUCGGAAUUACUGGGCGUAAAGCGCGCGCAGGCGGUCCUUUAAGUCUACCCGUGAAAUGCCGGAGCUCAACUCCGCGCACGCCGGGGGAUACUGGAGGACUGGAGACGAGUAGAGGCAAGCGGAAUUCCGGGUGUAGCGGUGGAAUGCGUAGAGAUCCGGAAGAACACCGGAGGCGAAGGCGGCUUGCUGGGCUUGGUCUGACGCUGAGGCGCGAAAGCGUGGGGAGCGAACAGGAUUAGAUACCCUGGUAGUCCACGCCGUAAACGAUGGGCACUAGACGCGGGUGGGAUCGACCCCUUCCGUGUCGCAGCUAACGCGCUAAGUGCCCCGCCUGGGGAGUACGGCCGCAAGGCUGAAACUCAAAGGAAUUGACGGGGGCCCGCACAAGCGGUGGAGCAUGUGGUUUAAUUCGAAGCAACGCGAAGAACCUUAC
rnacentral:rRNA from 1 species